rnacentral:rRNA from 1 species
UACGAGGGGGGCAAGCGUUGUUCGGAAUUAUUGGGCGUAAAGGGAGCGUAGGCGGUUUGGUAAGUCUUGUGUGAAAUCUUCGAGCUCAACUCGAAGUCUGCACGAGAAACUGCCGGGCUUGAGUAUGGGAGAGGUGAGUGGAAUUCCUGGUGUAGCGGUGAAAUGCGUAGAUAUCAGGAGGAACACCUGUGGCGAAAGCGGCUCACUGGACCAUAACUGACGCUGAGGCUCGAAAGCUAGGGGAGCAAACAGG